CUACGGGCCGCAGCAGUGAGGAAUAUUGCACAAUGGGGGGAACCCUGAUGCAGCAACGCCGCGUGGAGGAUGACGCAUUUCGGUGUGUAAACUCCUUUUAUAUGUCAAGAAAAUGACGGUAGCAUAUGAAUAAGCACCGGCUAACUCCGUGCCAGCAGCCGCGGUAAUACGGAGGGUGCAAGCGUUACUCGGAAUCACUGGGCGUAAAGGACGCGUAGGCGGGUUGGAAAGUCAGGUGUGAAAUCCUACAGCUUAACUGUAGAACUGCACUUGAAACUUCUAAUCUAGAGUAUGGGAGGGGGAGAUGGAAUUAGUGGUGUAGGGGUAAAAUCCGUAGAUAUCACUAGGAAUGCCUAAAGCGAAGGCGAUCUCCUGGAACAUUACUGACGCUAAGGCGUGAAAGCGUGGGGAGCAGACAGGAUUAGAUACCCUUGUAGUC
rnacentral:rRNA from 1 species